AGAGUUUGAUCCUGGCUCAGAACGAACGCUGGCGGCGCGUCUUAAGCAUGCAAGUCGAACGGCAAGAGAGAAGCUUGCUUCUCUCCUAGAGUGGCGGACUGGUGAGGAACACGUGGGUAAUCUGCCCUUAAGAUGGGGAUAGCUGCUAGAAAUAGCAGGUAAUACCGAAUACACUCGGCACUUCACAAGAGGUGUUGAGGAAAGGAAGCUAUGGCUUCGCUUGAGGAUGAGCUUGCGUCCCAUUAGCUAGUUGGUGAGGUAAAGGCUCACCAAGGCGACGAUGGGUAUCCGGCCUGAGAGGGUGAUCGGACACAUUGGGACUGAGAUACGGCCCAAACUCCUACGGGAGGCAGCAGCUAAGAAUAUUCCGCAAUGGACGGAAGUCUGACGGAGCGACGCCGCGUGGAUGAAGAAGGCUGAAAAGUUGUAAAAUCCUUUUGUUGAUGAAGAAUAAGGGUGAGAGGGAAUGCUCAUCUGAUGACGGUAAUCGACGAAUAAGCCCCGGCUAAUUACGUGCCAGCAGCCGCGGUAACACGUAAGGGGCGAGCGUUGUUCGGAAUUAUUGGGCGUAAAGGGCAUGUAGGCGGUUGUGUAAGCCUGGUGUGAAAUCCUGGGGCUUAACCCCAGAAUAGCAUUGGGUACUGCACGACUUGAAUUACGGAAGGGAAACUGGAAUUCCAAGUGUAGGGGUGGAAUCUGUAGAUAUUUGGAAGAACACCGGUGGCGAAGGCGGGUUUCUGGCCGAUAAUUGACGCUGAGAUGCGAAAGUGUGGGGAUCGAACAGGAUUAGAUACCCUGGUAGUCCACACUGUAAACGAUGUACACUAGGUGUUGGGGCAAGAGCUUCAGUGCCAAAGCAAACGAAUUGACGGGGGCCCGCACAAGCGGUGGAGCAUGUGGUUUAAUUCGAUGAUACGCGAGGAACCUUACCAAGGUUUAAAUGGAGACUGACAGGUGUAGAGAUACGCCCUUCUUCGGACAGUUUUCAAGGUGCUGCAUGGUUGUCGUCAGCUCGUGCCGUGAGGUGUCAGGUUAAGUCCUAUAACGAGCGCAACCCCUAUUGUUAGUUACCAUCAAGUAAAGUUGGGGACUCUAGCAAGACUGCCGGUGCAAACCGUGAGGAAGGUGGGGAUGACGUCAAAUCAUCACGGCCCUUACAUCUUGGGCUACACACGUGCUACAAUGGUCGUUACAGAGAGCAGCCACUGCGUGAGCAGGCGCGAAUCUAUAAAGACGAUCACAGUUCGGAUCGGAGUCUGCAACUCGACUCCGUGAAGCUGGAAUCGCUAGUAAUCGGAUAUCAGCCAUGAUCCGGUGAAUACGUUCCCGGGCCUUGUACACACCGCCCGUCAAGCCAUGGAAGCUGGGGGUACCUGAAGACGGUCACCGCGAGGAGCUGUUUAGGGUAAAACUAGUGACUGGGGCUAAGUCGUAACAAGGUAGCCGUACCGG
rnacentral:rRNA from 1 species